GGGGAUGUAGCUCAGUGGCAGAGCGCUUGCCUAGAAUGCAGAAGACCCUGGAUUUGAUCCCUAGCACUCCA
rnacentral:tRNA from 1 species